GUUGAACGCUGGCGGCAGGCCUAACACAUGCAAGUCGAGCGAGCGGCGGACGGGUGAGUAAUGUAUGGGGACUGCCCGAUUGAGGGGUAUAACUUCUGGAAACGGUGGCUAAUACCGCAUACGAUCGGGUAACCCAUAGGGGAUUAGCUAGUUGGUGGGGUAAAGACUCACUUAGGCGACGAUCUCUAGCUGGUCUGAGAGGAUGGUCAGAAACAGGGGGACUGAGACGCGGCCCAGACUCCGACGGAGGCAGCAGGGGGGAAUAUUGCAUAAUGGGCGCAAGGCUGAUGAAGGCAUGGCGCGUGUACGAGUAAGGCGUGAGGGUCGUAAAGGACUUUCAGCGGGGAUGUGUUACCCGUAGAAGAAGCACCGGCUAACACCGAGCCAGCAGCCGCGGUAAUAC
rnacentral:rRNA from 1 species